CACGUAGGGGGCAAGCGUUGUCCGGAAUUAUUGGGCGUAAAGAGCUCGUAGGUGGCCUGUCGCGUCGGCUGUGAAAACUCGGGGCUCAACUCCGAGCUUGCAGUCGAUACGGGCAGGCUAGAGUUCGGCAGGGGAGACUGGAAUUCCUGGUGUAGCGGUGAAAUGCGCAGAUAUCAGGAGGAACACCGGUGGCGAAGGCGGGUCUCUGGGCCGAUACUGACACUGAGGAGCGAAAGCGUGGGGAGCGAACAGG
rnacentral:rRNA from 1 species